rnacentral:rRNA from 1 species
UACGGAGGGGGCUAGCGUUGUUCGGAAUUACUGGGCGUAAAGCGCACGUAGGCGGUGGUGCAUGUCAGAUGUGAAAGCCCUGGGCUUAACCUAGGAAUUGCAUUUGAAACUGCGCCGCUAGAGACCGGAAGAGGGUAGUGGAGUUCCCAGUGUAGAGGUGAAAUUCGUAGAUAUUGGGAAGAACACCAGUGGCGAAGGCGGCUACCUGGUCCGGUACUGACGCUGAGGUGCGAAAGCGUGGGGAGCAAACAGG